rfam:Dipodomys ordii contig_86841, whole genome shotgun sequence.
GGUAAUGAGUACAUUUCGUUCUGUCACCCCAUUGAUCUCCAUUGAUUCUAGCUGUCUAGGCUGGUAUCCCCUUCCUCCCUCACCCCUCCAUGUGUGUCACUCCUGAAGCUGCCUGCUUGGUCAAAGAGGACAACCAGCCCCAAUGGAGGAUCUGUCUUUGAUAAAGGGUAUACGAGUAGCUGCGAUCCCCUGCUAAAACCUCAAAACAAGCACUCUUCCAUUUUUCUACUAUGUCAUGGUACCUCAAGACUCCUUCACAUGACCAGUUUUGAAUUUUUGAACUUUUGAACUUCU